UUAACUUGAUUUCAUUUGGCUUGUCAUCGCUUAAAUCGAAAGUGAUUUCGACGGGUUCAUCCGAGAACACAUGUUCAAUCCAAAAGCAAAAGCAUUCAAACAGAUCUCGUCACAUGAUAUCCCCACCACAACAUGAAAAUCAUGAUACUAGCAGGAAAAAAUAAGCAACUGAAAACAACAACGUUACGUCCAUCCAAUACAUAACGAAAGGCACAAAAAUCUCACAUACGAUACGAAAGAAGAAAUACACAAAAAUGCUUAGGCCUGUGCACGUCGUCGGUUUUCAGCAGUGGAAGGAGGGGGCGAGGUUGCACUUGACGGGGAGCUGGGCCGCCAAGUCGGGGUUGAUUUGAUAAGUCUGCAUCAACGUCCUAGCAUACUUAAAGAAGCAGAGGCAGUUAAGGUCGGCAUUGGCCAGAGCCGAGCAGCAUCCGCGGGUCGGCUCGGUCGGGUUGGAGACACUCACCGACGGCCUACACGCCUCGAAGCCCUCUUUGGACAUGCCGCACAUGGCUGAGCUUCCGGCUGCCACGGGAUGGCUCGCC